rnacentral:rRNA from 1 species
ACGUGAUAUUAGCUAGUUGGCGGGGUGACGGCCCACCAAGGCCAAGAUGUCUAGCAGGUGUGAGAGCACGACCUGCGCCACUGGCACUGGGACACUGGCCAGACUCCUACGGGAGGCUGCAGUCGAGGAUCUUCGGCAAUGGGCGCAAGCCUGACCGAGCGACGCCGCGUGAGCGAUGAAGGCCUUCGGGUUGUAAAGCUCUGUCGAGGGGGAGAAAAGCCGCAAGGCGUGAUCGACCCCUGGAGGAAGCACGGGCUAAGUUCGUGCCAGCAGCCGCGGUAAGACGAACCGUGCGAACGUUAUUCGGAAUCACUGGGCUUAAAGGGCGCGUAGGCGGGCCGACGAGCCAGGGGUGAAAUCCUCCAGCCCAACUGGAGAAUAGCCCCUGGGACCGGCGGCCUUGAGGGGUGCAGGGGCAUGCGGAACUCAGGGUGGAGCGGUGAAAUGCGUAGAGAUCCUGAGGAACACCGGUGGCGAAAGCGGCGUGCUGGACACCUACUGACGCUGAGGCGCGAAAGCCAGGGGAGCGAACGGGAUUAGAUACCCCGGUAGUCCUGGCCCUAAACGU